rnacentral:misc_RNA from 1 species
AAGUCGUAACAAGGUUUCCGUAGGUGAACCUGCGGAAGGAUCAUUACUGAAGUGAUUUGGGGAUGUUGCUGGCCUCUCUUGGGAGGCAAUGUGCACUCUCCAAAACAAUUCACAAUUUCCAUCACACCCCCUUGUGCACAUCCUGUAGGGCAAAUGUCCUAUGUAUUCUCUCUCAUCUAACACGUUUUUGAAUGGGUGCUCUUGUGGAUUAUUUGUAACAAAGUAAUCACAUAAAACAUAAAACAACUUUCAACAAUGGAUCUCUUGGCUCUC